UACGUAGGGGGCUAGCGUUGUCCGGAAUCAUUGGGCGUAAAGAGCGCGUAGGCGGCCAGAUAAGUCCGGUGUGAAAGUCACAGGCUCAACCUGUGAAUGCCGCUGGAAACUGUCUGGCUAGAGUCCGGAAGGGGCGAGUGGAAUUCUGGUGUAGCGGUGAAAUGCGCAGAUAUCAGGAGGAACACCUAUGGCGAAGGCAGCUCGCUGGGACGGUACUGACGCUGAGGCGCGAAAGCGUGGGGAGCGAACAGGA
rnacentral:rRNA from 1 species